GGGCCUUUAGCUCAGCUGGUUAGAGCACCUGACUCAUAAUCAGGGGGUCGGGGGAUCGUGCCCCUCAAGGCCCA
rnacentral:tRNA from 1 species